CUACGGGUGGCUCCAGUGGGGAAUAUUGGACAAUGGGGGAAACCCUGAUCCAGCAAUGCCGCGUGUGUGAAGAAGGCCUGCGGGUUGUAAAGCACUUUCGGUUGGGAGGACUGCUUCUAGCACUAAUAUUGUUGGAAGUUGACGUUACCUUCAGAAGAAGCACCGGCUAACUCCGUGCCAGCAGCCGCGGUAGUACGGAGGGUGCAAGCGUUAAUCGGAAUUACUGGGCGUAAAGAGCGCGUAGGCGGCUAGAUCAGUCGGGUGUGAAAGCCCCGGGCUUAACCUGGGAACUGCAUCCGAUACUGUCUAGCUUGAGUACAGGAGAGGAGAGUGGAAUUCCAUAUGUAGCGGUGAAAUGCGUAGAUAUGUGGAGGAACACCAAUGGCGAAGGCAGCUCUCUGGCCUGAUACUGACGCUGAGGUGCGAAAGCGUGGGGAGCAAACAGGAUUAGAUACCCUUGUAGUC
rnacentral:rRNA from 1 species